rnacentral:rRNA from 1 species
GCCCUACGGGGCGCAGCAGGCGCGAAAACUUUACAAUGCGGGCAACCGUGAUAAGGAAACCCCGAGUGCCACCACAGGGUGGCUGUCCACCAGUGUAAACAACUGGUGAAGAAAGGGCCGGGCAAGACCGGUGCCAGCCGCCGCGGUAAUACCGGCGGCUCGAGAGGUGGCCGCUUUUACUGGGCUUAAAGGGUCCGUAGCUGGAUCCACAAGUCCCUUGAGAAAUCCAUCGGCUUAACAGCUGGGCGUUCAGGGGAUACUGUGGUUCUAGGGACCGGGAGAGGUGAGAGGUACUGCCGGGGUAGGAGUGAAAUCCUGUAAUCCCGGUGGGACGACCUAUGGCGAAGGCAUCUCACCAGAACGGCUCCGACAGUGAGGGACGAAAGCUGGGGGAGCAAACCGGAUUAGAUACCCGGGUAGUCCCAGCUGUAAACGAUGCGCGUUAGGUGUGUCAGUGAUCACGUGUCACUGAGAUGCCGAAGGGAAACCGUGAAACGCGCCGCCUGGGGAGUACGGUCGCAAGGCUGAAACU